rnacentral:rRNA from 1 species
UACGAAGGGGGCUAGCGUUGUUCGGAAUUACUGGGCGUAAAGCGCGCGCAGGCGGAUUUGUAAGUCAGGGGUGAAAUCCCGGGGCUCAACCUCGGAAUUGCCUUUGAUACUGUCUAUCUUGAGGCCGGGAGAGGUGAGUGGAAUUCCUAGUGUAGAGGUGAAAUUCGUAGAUAUUAGGAAGAACACCAGUGGCGAAGGCGGCUCACUGGCCCGGUACUGACGCUCAUGUGCGAAAGCGUGGGGAGCAAACAGG